AUUAGGGCAUGAUAUGGAGAUUAUGUACAAACCAGGUGUUGAAAAUAAAGCGGCACAUGGGUUGUCUAGAAUUCCACAGCGGUUCAGUUACAGGAGUUAUAUUCGGAGAUUGCAGAUGAUCCGAUUAUACAAGCUCUGAUUUUACAAGUACAACAGAAUUCUAAUGGUUUGCGACAUUAUGCGUUGGUAGAUGGGAAGUUGUGGUACAAGCGACGGUUGUUGAUUCCAAAGACAUCAAAGUUUAUUCCCUUAUUGCUACACGAGUUUCAUGACAGUAAGAUGGGGGUCAUGGUGGGGUACUUAAGACGGUUAAGCGAAUUCAAGAGUUAUUUCAUUUGGAAGGGAUAUAGAAGAUGGUCCAGAAGUAUGUUUCAGAAUACAGAGGUGUGGACUGAUUUAUUCAAAUGGUCGAGUACUGAUAUGGUUCAAAUUACCUAGAACUACUCUCUCAAAUAAGAGAUCAAUUGCAGUAUUUUAGGAUCGAAUUCACGGAGUUCUUUUGUUCAAAAAGUGAGUUAAAUGUCGAGAUUAAGCUAGCAGGGUAUAAGUGAAAUAGUAAGAAAACAAAAUAAGAAAACAGCAGAUUGAUUGGGUUAUAAACGAUUAGGAAAAGAGCUAGGAAACAAGGUAUUCUCAGGAAACUAUUGGUUAGUAGAUCUAAUGAAAGCUAGGUUGUUAUCGAACCAUUCUUAAACUCAAACUCUAAUUUUGAAAUAACCGGUGGGCGUGCCGUAAAACUCCCUAUAUCUAUAGCUAAUAAUAACCGGAGAAGCCGAGAAACUAUCAACCUAAAUAUGCAUUUUUAAUGAGUUUAAUUGUUCAUCUUAGUAGAUAGGCCAAUUCUUAUUACACACCUAUAAACCAGACUCAUCAAAUAAUAGAUCCAACUACAGAUACCUAUGGCGGGCAUAUCUACUGUCUUGAAAGCAUAAACACAGUAAAUAGAGAAGGGGAAAGAAGGGAUCUCUUCACUGUAUAUAGAUCUGAAUGAAACUCUGAGAAACAAUAGAUGAAUAGCUUAUGUCUCUCACAAUAGGGUUUGUAGAAAACUUGAUAAAAGACUUGAUAAAUGAAACUUAGGUCUAAAAACAAUAUAUAUAGACCCUAAAAACGUCCAGGGACUAAUAAUGCAAAUAAGGAAGUCUUCUGGGGCAAACUUGAGCUUCUGUAAACUCGAAAGCAUCUAGGGUUUUUGUUGGGCCGAAACUGGUGUCGAUCGACACUAAGAGUGUGUCGGUUGACACUCCUCGCUGAUUCCUGAACCAAAAUCGUCCUUAGCUUCCUUUUCCUUAGCUUUUGCUCCAAAAUGUCUCAUUAUCUCCAUUGUUGUCCCAUUGCAUAGAAUACCUGAAAAGACACUAAAAAUACUCGAGAAAUAACAGAAUGACUCAAAAUCCUAUACCUAAAACAGAGAUAAAAUCGGUGAAAAUCGGGUUAUAUCAACUCCCCCAGACUUAGCUUUUGUUUGCCCUCAAGCAAAACACAAAAGCCGAACCCGUGGAAGAGGUUUUGAAAACAAAGAAACUCCCAACAUUCUCUAGCCUAUUGCCAUGAUCAUUAAAACUAAGUCCAUAUGCCUAACAAGUCUAAUCAAAUCCUAACCAACAUGUACUUCUCUGCAAGCUUACACAACAUUUUAGAUUCCAUACCUAAAUUCAACAACUAUAUCCACCAGGCUUUCAUUGCUGGGUCUCAUCAAACAAGCCUACAUUCAAGAUACUUCUAAACUCAUUCCUGUACUAUACCAUGAUAAAUUGACCAUUCUUUAUAUAUUUUUUCUUUUUCGGUGUUCUUUCUCUCCCAGACUUAUUUUUUUAGAGAGUAAACAAAGGGGAACUCGCAUACUGGAUCGACACCCUCGACAUUUUUCCAACCUUUGUAAUUGAUCAUUCUAAAUAAUGUAUAAUAAUGGGGUCAUAGGAAACAUUGCUACCCCUAUAGUCGUCUCAAUCUCUCAUUAUAUUUUAUAUUUAUUUUUUAUUUAUUUUUUAUUAUAAGGGGAGAGGAACAUAUUCUUUUGAUCACAUUGGUCUCAAUAUCAGGUAUGAACAAGGAGUCAAGAUCUAUUAAUACUAACCGUUUGAAGAGGUAAAAGGAAGAGCAGUGAGAUUAGCUCCAGCCUUAGUGGUUGAGUUGGAAACUAGGAUAUCCUCAAGUCUGUUGCUUUGCCAUCUAGGUUUUCCAAUAGUCGGAUUGAUUCAAACCUGCAACACUCAUCAAUCAGGCAAUAAACAAGAGAAAUAUAGAUCAUGAUUCCUAACUAAACUAAAGAAAACGUUUUUUU
rnacentral:sRNA from 1 species